CCACCAACUCCACCUGGUGGUUUUUUGUGUUUAUCAAUCCAUCUUUCCAUCAAUUUUUCUAUUUCAUAAACGAAUGAUUGUAUAUUUUUGUUCUGCAAACGAUGAUGUCCAUCUUGUAUACUACUGAAGCUUAGUUGAAAUCAACAGACAUGGUAAUUUUACCCCACAGUAGGAAAACCCCGGUACUUACAGAAUUUGUGUAAACACCCCCCCCCCUUUUCUAUAGAAAUAUGAUACAAUGUCAUGUAUUUAGUUUACUUAUCUCAUUGUUUAAAGACAGAUUUGUUCAAAUGAGAAUUUUACCUCAAAAUAAAUUCACAUUUUUC
rnacentral:sRNA from 1 species